CAGCUUAAAGGGACAGUCACCAAAACCACUACAGCUUAAAGGGACAGUCACCAGAACUACAGCUUAAAGGGACAGUCACCACAACUACUACAGCUUAAAGGGACAGUCACCAAAACUACAGCUUAAAGGGACAGUCACCAGAACUACAGCUUAAAGGGACAGUCACCACAACUACUACAGCUUAAAGGGACAGACACCAAAACUACUACAGCUUAAAGGGACAGUCACCACAACUACUACAGCUUAAAGGGACAGUCACCAAAACUACUACAGCUUAAAGGGACAGUCACCAGAACUACAGCUUAAAGGGACAGACACCAAAACUACUACAGCUUAAAGGGACAGACACCAAAACUACUACAGCUUAAAGGGACAGUCACCAGAACUACAGCUUAAAGGGACAGUCACCACAACUACUACAGCUUAAAGGGACAGUCACCACAACUACUACAGCUUAAAGGGACAGUCACCAGAACUACAGCUUAAAGGGACAGACACCAAAACUACUACAGCUUAAAGGGACAGUCACCAGAACUACUACAGCUUAAAGGGACAGUCACCAGAACUACAGCUUAAAGGGACAGACACCAAAACUACUACAGCUUAAAGGGACAGUCACCAGAACUACAGCUUAAAGGGACAGACACCAAAACUGCUACAGCUUAAAGGGACAGUCACCAGAACUACUACAGCUUAAAGGGACAGUCACCAAAACUACUACAGCUUAAAGGGACAGUCACCAGAACUACAGCUUAAAGGGACAGACACCAAAACUACUACAGCUUAAAGGG